rnacentral:rRNA from 1 species
UGGGGAAUAUUGGGCAAUGGACGCAAGUCUGACCCAGCAACGCCGCGUGAAGGAAGAAGGCUUUCGGGUUGUAAACUUCUUUUAAGGGGGAAGAGCAGAAGACGGUACCCCUUGAAUAAGCCACGGCUAACUACGUGCCAGCAGACGCGGUAAUCGAGAUCU